rnacentral:rRNA from 1 species
GACGAACGCUGGCGGCGUGCCUAAUACAUGCAAGUCGAGCGAAUGACGAAGAAGCUUGCUUCUUCUGAUUUAGCGGCGGACGGGUGAGUAACACGUGGGCAACCUGCCCUGUAGAUUGGGAUAACUCCGGGAAACCGGGGCUAAUACCGAAUAAUCCAUUUCCUCACAUGUGGAAAUGUUAAAAGACGGCAUCUCGCUGUCACUACAGGAUGGGCCCGCGGCGCAUUAGCUAGUUGGUGAGGUAACGGCUCACCAAGGCGACGAUGCGUAGCCGACCUGAGAGGGUGAUCGGCCACACUGGGACUGAGACACGGCCCAGACUCCUACGGGAGGCAGCAGUAGGGAAUCUUCCACAAUGGACGAAAGUCUGAUGGAGCAACGCCGCGUGAGUGAAGAAGGUUUUCGGAUCGUAAAACUCUGUUGUGAGGGAAGAACAAGUACGAGAGUAACUGCUCGUACCUUGACGGUACCUCAUUAGAAAGCCACGGCUAACUACGUGCCAGCAGCCGCGGUAAUACGUAGGUGGCAAGCGUUGUCCGGAAUUAUUGGGCGUAAAGCGCGCGCAGGCGGUCCUUUAAGUCUGAUGUGAAAGCCCACGGCUCAACCGUGGAAGGUCAUUGGAAACUGGGGGACUUGAGUGCAGAAGAGGAAAGUGGAAUUCCAAGUGUAGCGGUGAAAUGCGUAGAGAUUUGGAGGAACACCAGUGGCGAAGGCGACUUUCUGGUCUGUAACUGAC